rfam:Pyronema omphalodes CBS 100304, CBS100304, WGS project CATG01000000 data, contig: Pcon_v1_contig638
GGCCGCAUGGCCCAAUGGCAAGGCGCUUGACUAUGAAUCAAGAGAUUGCAAGUUCGAUCCCUGCUGUAAUCA